rnacentral:rRNA from 1 species
UACAGAGGGUGCAAGCGUUAAUCGGAAUUACUGGGCGUAAAGCGUGCGUAGACGGUUACAUAAGUCGGGUGUGAAAGCCCCGGGCUCAACCUGGGAAUUGCAUUCGAGACUGCGUAGCUAGGGUGCGGAAGAGGGAAGCGGAAUUUCCGGUGUAGCGGUGAAAUGCGUAGAUAUCUGGAGGAAUACCAGAGGCGAAGGCGGCUACCUGGACAAUUGCUGACGCUCAGGCACGAAAGCGUGGGGAGCAAAAGGG